CCUGGCUGUUCGGCUACCUGGAGGCGCGCGGGGGUCUCGUCAGGCUGGAGCCGCCCCUCCCCCCCCCCCCCCCCCCCCGCGACAGACACCUAUGACCCGCAAAUAGAGGGGAAAAACACCCAACUCCUCCUUUGUUCAGGCUGCGGCAAACGCUGCCGAAAGGGGGUGGCUAAAGCAAUCGCCUGAAGAAGAAACCCAGCCCCGGGCCCAGUAUCCUUACUGAGCUGUGAAUUUGAAUGAGGAAAAAUGGUCUAUUCCCAGACUUCCAUAUCCAGGGGAAAUGAAGACCUUGUUGUGAGUCAGCGGUGGCCUCUCUAAGCUGGGUUACUGAACCAAUCUACAUGAGGAUGUUAUGCAGCUGCACUAUUGUGUCCUGCGGAAUGGGAGAUAAUACUGUGAAUUGGAAAAGAUGCUGAGAUCAAAUCUCCUUUGACCCCUUGACAACUGUAAGAAAUAUCUGUCUAAGCAUUGGAUGACUCUACUGUAACUUACUGCCAGGGGAAACUGAAGUAGGAUCAUUUUUGAAGAGUGCAAAGGAAAUGGAUGGGAGACAUGUUUGGUGUUCCUAAUCAUCAGUAACGUGUUUUACAGAGAUCCACUUCUGUAAAGACUUCUGGGGUGGGUGAAGUACAAGCAAAGAGGAAAACCCAAAUUUUCUCCAAUUGCUUUUUAAAAAAGCCGAACAUUUGUGAAAACAGCUGGUCCCAGAGGUGGAAUGUUCCAAAACCCCAUUUGGAGCCAAGUACAUGCGUUAUGGAGUCAGUCGUGACACCAAUUUAUAGAGAACAGACAAUGAGUUUUGGAUCUUAAAAAUAAAGAAGGACUUUAUAUUGGUAUUUUUGUCUCCAGUUCUCUAAUGAAAAAGAAGCAGUGCGGAUUAACAAUUUGACCUUUCUGUGGCACUUAUUCCUACCUUGGGUACUGUAGAAAACCCAGAAAGAUCUCCCGCAAGGUGAGUGUAAUGCCGCAUGCCAGAACUGAGAAGGACUCGCUCUCUGUUCUCCUGUCCCCGCUGCCCUCAUCUGCAUGCUGAGGAGGAAGGGUCAGCUGCUGCUUUACCUAAAUGAGGCAGCCCCAACACAGGGCCUGGAAGGAACAGAAGCCAGCACGCAUCCGGCUGGAAGGGAAGAGAAGGACCAGAUGCUGUAAGCCUGGAGGGACAAAUCCUCAAGGAUGGGCAAGGGGCCAGAACAGCAAACAUACUUUUAGUAACCGGUGCAUCUAGUUGUGAAGAUUUCAAGAGACCCAACACUGUUCCAUGAACAAAGCUACCAUGCAAACUGCCACGGCAUGAUGACGGGCUACUAACCUCUCACUUGCUGCUCUAGACUG